AUACGGAGGAUGCAAGCGUUAUCCGGAUUUAUUGGGUUUAAAGGGUGCGCAGGCGGACGAUUAAGUCAGUGGUGAAAUGCAACAGCUUAACUGUUGAACUGCCAUUGAUACUGAUUAUCUAGAGUACAGACGACGUUGGCGGAAUGCGACAUGUAGCGGUGAAAUGCUUAGAGAUGUCGCAGAACACCGAUUGCGAAGGCAGCUAACGAGGAUGUAACUGACGCUCAUGCACGAAAGCGUGGGGAUCAAACAGGAUUAGAUACCCUGGUAGUCCACGCCCUAAACGAUGAUCACUCGUUGUUAGGAAGUAAUUCUUAGCGGCUAAGGGAAACCGAUAAGUGAUCCACCUGGGGAGUACGAUCGCAAGGUUGAA
rnacentral:rRNA from 1 species